CCUACGGGAGGCUGCAGUGGGGAAUCUUGGACAAUGGGCGAAAGCCUGAUCCAGCCAUGCCGCGUGAAUGAUGAAGGCCCUAGGGUUGUAAAAUUCUUUCGACGGGGAAGAUAAUGACGGUACCCGUAGAAGAAGCUCCGGCUAACUUCGUGCCAGCAGCCGCGGUAAUACGAAGGGGGCUAGCGUUGUUCGGAAUUACUGGGCGUAAAGCGCACGUAGGCGGAUCGAUAAGUAAGAGGUGAAAUCCCAGAGCUCAACUCUGGAACUGCCUUUUAAACUGUCGAUCUGGAGCAGAGUAGAGGUGAGUGGAAUUCCGAGUGUAGAGGUGAAAUUCGUAGAUAUUCGGAGGAACACCAGUGGCGAAGGCGGCUCACUGGACUCUUACUGACGCUGAGGUGCGAAAGCGUGGGGAGCAAACAGGAUUAGAUACCCGUGUAGUC
rnacentral:rRNA from 1 species